UGCUGACAGGAUCCUGGAGCACUGAGGGACACAAUUGGAAACACUGGUUUUAUUACCAAGACUUUGGAAAGUCACGUUUGAGAAUAUGCAAAGAAUCAUGUGUGACCAGUUUUACGGACUUUUAAUAAAGCCCCUUGGAAAAGCCACCUGGUACCUUGCUUGUAGGUUUGCUGGCAGCCUUACCAGGCCUAACUUUGGGAGCCCACCUGCAACACCACUUCCUAAAAUGAGACACAGCCAUUGAACUGACCUAUUCUCAAGAGACUGGUUCAAGGAAAUAAUUCAGCUAUCGACUCAGCUGCUGGACUGUGAAACUCCUUUAAAGUUUCAAAGGUAAGACUGAAAGGGGGCAGAACACACCACCCCAGAAUAUGCCGCUUUGGCAUAAGGAUUUUUUUCAGCUGAUCAUUGUUUAGAAACAGCAGACACAGGAAAAGCUCUGAAAUGUAGAAGUAGUGACCCUUUCAUGGGGGAAAUUAACAUUUAUGAGAGAAGUAUCCAUUUGUAAGGGUGUCUCCCUCUCUAUACCUGCAGAAGGAUGACUCUAAAUUCCAAGAAACUCAUCAAUGGAGAAGGUGCCAACUUUAAUCUGCGAAACCACCUUACCCUUGUUUACUGUGCUUU